rfam:Solanum tuberosum cultivar DM 1-3 516 R44 scf00202_12, whole genome shotgun sequence.
GGAGAGAUGGCUGAGUGGAUUAAAGUGGCGUACUACUAAUCCGUUGUACAAGUUAGUCGUACCGAGGGUUCGAAUCCCUCUCUUUCCG